UCUCCCUCUGGGGAGGAUCUCGCUGGGGCCUCCAAAUGUUGUGGCGCGAAUGAUUCUGAGACCCACGGAGCCAAUUGAGAUUAAUUAUGAGCCUUUAUUAG
ensembl:miRNA